rnacentral:misc_RNA from 1 species
GAUGAAGAACGUAGCGAAAUGCGAUAAGUAAUGUGAAUUGCAGAAUUCAGUGAAUCAUCGAAUCUUUGAACGCACAUUGCGCCCGCCAGUAUUCUGGCGGGCAUGCCUGUUCGAGCGUCAUUUCAACCAUCAAGCCCCCGGCUUGUGUUGGGGACCUGCGGCUGCCGCAGGCCCUGAAAACCAGUGGCGGGCUCGCUAGUCACUCCGAGCGUAGUAGUUACAUCUCGCUCAGGGCGUGCUGCGGGUUCCGGCCGUUAAAAGCCUUAUUUACCCAAGGUUGACCUCGGAUCAGGUAGGAAGACCCGCUGAACUUAAGAAUAUCAAUAAGCGGAGGA